rnacentral:rRNA from 1 species
UACGGAGGGUGCAAGCGUUGUCCGGAAUCACUGGGCGUAAAGGGCGCGUAGGCGGCUAUGUAAGUCACUUGUGAAAUCCCGGGGCUCAACUCCGGGGCCGCAGGUGAGACUGUGUGGCUAGAGCAUGGUAGAGGCGAGUGGAAUUCCCGGUGUAGCGGUGGAAUGCGUAGAUAUCGGGAAGAACACCAAUGGCGAAGGCAGCUCGCUGGGACGGUACUGACACUGAGACGCGAAAGCGUGGGGAGCAAACAGG